rnacentral:rRNA from 1 species
CUACGGGACGCUCCAGUGGGGAAUUUUGCGCAAUGGGGGAAACCCUGACGCAGCAACGCCGCGUGCGGGACGAAGGCCUUCGGGUUGUAAACCGCUUUCGGUGGGGACGAAAGCCCCGCAGCGAAUAGUUGCGGGAUUUGACGGUACCCACAAAAGAAGCCUCGGCUAACUCUGUGCCAGCAGCCGCGGUAAGACAGAGGGGGCAAGCGUUGUUCGGAAUGAUUGGGCGUAAAGGGCGUGUAGGCGGUCAGUCGCGUCCUGGGUGACAAGCCUGGGCUUAACCCGGGAGGUGCCUAGGAUACGGGCUGACUGGAGGGUCGCAGAGGCGCGUGGAAUUCCCGGUGUAGCGGUGAAAUGCGUAGAGAUCGGGAGGAACACCGGUGGCGAAGGCGGCGCGCUGGGCGACACCUGACGCUGAGGCGCGACAGCGUGGGGAGCAAACAGGAUUAGAUACCCGGGUAGUC